GACGAGGUGGUCCAGUGGUUAAGGCAAUGGACUGCUAAUCCAUUGCGCAUUGCACGUGUGGGUUCGAAUCCCAUCCGCCUCGUUC